rnacentral:siRNA from 1 species
AGGGCCGCCGGGGGCGCACCGGA